rnacentral:lncRNA from 1 species
AGGGCGACAAGAGCGAGGCGGCGCGGGUGAUUUUUCUGGGGUGGCCGGGGCAGCACGAGAUGGAGGAUCAGGAGAGCCCUGACACUCCCACGUCGCAGCGGGACGCAUCGCACGACGGCAUGCAGCUGCCGCUGUACAACAAGCCCGCGCCCACCGCCGCGCAGCCGCCCCUCGCCCUGCUGGAGGACCGCGUGCGUGCGCAGAAUGGCCGCCAGCUCGGG